rnacentral:rRNA from 1 species
GACAGGCUUAACACAUGCAAGUCGAGGGGCAGCGGGGGUAGCGAUACCCGCCGGCGACCGGCGCACGGGUGAGUAACGCGUAUGCAACUUGCCUAUCAGAGGGGGAUAACCCGGCGAAAGUCGGACUAAUACCGCAUGAAGUAGGGGCCCCGCAUGGGGGUAUUUGCUAAAGAUUCAUCGCUGAUAGAUAGGCAUGCGUUCCAUUAGGCAGUUGGCGGGGUAACGGCCCACCAAACCGACGAUGGAUAGGGGUUCUGAGAGGAAGGUCCCCCACAUUGGUACUGAGACACGGACCAAACUCCUACGGGAGGCAGCAGUGAGGAAUAUUGGUCAAUGGCCGAGAGGCUGAACCAGCCAAGUCGCGUGAGGGAUGAAGGUUCUAUGGAUCGUAAACCUCUUUUAUAAGGGAAUAAAGUGCGGGACGUGUCCCGUUUUGUAUGUACCUUAUGAAUAAGGAUCGGCUAACUCCGUGCCAGCAGCCGCGGUAAUACGGAGGAUCCGAGCGUUAUCCGGAUUUAUUGGGUUUAAAGGGUGCGUAGGCGGCCUUUUAAGUCAGCGGUGAAAGUCUGUGGCUCAACCAUAGAAUUGCCGUUGAAACUGGGGGGCUUGAGUAUGUUUGAGGCAGGCGGAAUGCGUGGUGUAGCGGUGAAAUGCUUAGAUAUCACGCAGAACCCCGAUUGCGAAGGCAGCCUGCCAAGCCAUGACUGACGCUGAUGCACGAAAGCGUGGGGAUCAAACAGGAUUAGAUACCCUGGUAGUCCACGCAGUAAACGAUGAUCACUAGCUGUUUGCGAUACAUUGUAAGCGGCACAGCGAAAGCGUUAAGUGAUCCACCUGGGGAGUACGCCGGCAACGGUGAAACUCAAAGGAAUUGACGGGGGCCCGCACAAGCGGAGGAACAUGUGGUUUAAUUCGAUGAUACGCGAGGAACCUUACCCGGGUUUGAACGCAUUCGGACCGAGGUGGAAACACCUUUUCUAGCAAUAGCCGUUUGCGAGGUGCUGCAUGGUUGUCGUCAGCUCGUGCCGUGAGGUGUCGGCUUAAGUGCCAUAACGAGCGCUACCCUUGCCACUAGUUACUAACAGGUAAAGCUGAGGACUCUGGUGGGACUGCCAGCGUAAGCUGCGAGGAAGGCGGGGAUGACGUCAAAUCAGCACGGCCCUUACAUCCGGGGCGACACACGUGUUACAAUGGCGUGGACAAAGGGAAGCCACCUGGCGACAGGGAGCGAAUCCCCAAACCACGUCUCAGUUCGGAUCGGAGUCUGCAACCCGACUCCGUGAAGCUGGAUUCGCUAGUAAUCGCGCAUCAGCCAUGGCGCGGUGAAUACGUUCCCGGGCCUUGUACACACCGCCCGUCAAGCCAUGGGAGUCGGGGGUACCUGAAGUCCGUAACCGAAAGGAUCGGCCUAGGGUAAAACUGGUGACUGGGGCU